rnacentral:tRNA from 1 species
GUUUAUAUAGUUAAAGUAAAUAACAUAUCAUUUUCAAUGAUAAAUUAAGUUUAUCUUUAUAAAUA